rnacentral:misc_RNA from 1 species
AUGGUUUCAUAGAUGGAACUGUGAAACAACCAGCAGAUGACUCGCCGGAAAUUGAAGAUUGGUGGACAGUCAAUUCCAUGCUUGUCUCAUGGGUGUUCAACACCAUUGAGCCCUGUUUACGUUCAACUAUUUCUCAUAUGGAGAAUGUAAGAGAUCUAUGGGAGGACAUAAGGCACCGCUUCUCCAUUGGGAAUGGACUGAGAGUGCAGCAAUUGAGGUUAGAUUUGGUGAAUUGUAAGCUGGAUGGACAGACCAUUGUCAAUUACUAUGGACGGCUUAAAACCAUAGGGGAU